rnacentral:rRNA from 1 species
GACGAAGGGGGCUAGCGUUGUUCGGAAUUACUGGGCGUAAAGCGCGCGUAGGCGGGUCUUUAAGUCAGGGGUGAAAUCCUGGAGCUCAACUCCAGAACUGCCUUUGAUACUGAAGAUCUUGAGUUCGGGAGAGGUGAGUGGAACUGCCGAGUGUAGAGGUGAAAUUCGUAGAUAUUCGGAAGAACACCAGUGGCGAAGGCGGCUCACCUGGACUGGUAUUGACGCUGAGGUGCGAAAGCGUGGGGAGCAAACAGG